rnacentral:rRNA from 1 species
AAUUUUGGACAAUGGGGGAAACCCUGAUCCAUCCAUCCCGCGUGUAUGAUGAAGGCCUUCGGGUUGUAAAGUACUUUUGGCAGAGAAGAAAAGGUAUCUCCUAAUACGAGAUACUGCUGACGGUAUCUGCAGAAUAAGCACCGGCUAACUACGUGCCAGCAGCCGCGUUAAUACGUAGGGUGCAAGCGUUAAUCGGAAUUACUGGGCGUAAAGCGUGUGUAGGCGGUUCGGAAAGGAAGAUGUGAGAUUCCAGUGCUGCACCCUGGAACUGCAUUUUAAACCGCAGAGCUAGAGUAUGUCAGCGGGGGGUAGGAUUCCACGUGUAGCAGUGAAAUGCGUAGAUAUGUGGAGGAAUACCGAUGGCGAAGGCAGACCCCUGGGAUAAUACUGACGCUCAGACACGAAAGCGUGGGGAGCAAACAG